rnacentral:rRNA from 1 species
UACGUAGGGGGCAAGCGUUGUCCGGAAUCAUUGGGCGUAAAGCGCGCGUAGGCGGCCCGGUAAGUCCGUUGUAAAAGUCGAAGGCUCAACCUUCGAAAGCCGAUGGAUACUGCCGGGCUAGAGUCCGGAAGAGGAGAGUGGAAUUCCCGGUGUAGCGGUGAAAUGCGCAGAUAUCGGGAAGAACACCUAUGGCGAAGGCAGCUCUCUGGGACGGUACUGACGCUGAGACGCGAAAGCGUGGGGAGCGAACCGG